AUGGGUGUUGAGAUUAAAAGUGUAAGAGGAGAGAGUGUUCAAGAAGGAAUCACUAGCCCAUUUCUUGUGAAAGUUCGCCUAGGGGAAGAAUCAAGCUGUCAUCGGAUCACAUCUCUCGAAGCAUUGCUCAAUGUUAAAGUGAGCACGAAGGAAGAAUUCAAAAGAAAAUUUGAAAAGCUUAAGGUAAAGAGGAAAAAAGAUAAGAGUAAAGAUGAGGAAGAUCCCAUAAUACUCAAGGAAGAACACAAAGAACUCACAUUAAAAAUCCAAGAGAUGCCAAAAGAAGGGUGUGCUGAAGUAACAUCUCAGAGACCCCAACUAAGCCAAUCAACAAGAUUCCGACUAGUAAUUGAAAAUAACGUGAGCAGAACAAUUUACAAAAAGGAAACUGUAAGGAUGGUGAAGGUCACAUAA
rnacentral:rRNA from 1 species